rnacentral:rRNA from 1 species
GUAGGUGGCAAGCGUUGUCCGGAAUUAUUGGGCGUAAAGCGCGCGCAGGCGGUUCUUUAAGUCUGAUGUGAAAGCCCACGGCUCAACCGUGGAGGGUCAUUGGAAACUGGAGAACUUGAGUACAGAAGAGGAAAGCGGAAUUCCACGUGUAGCGGUGAAAUGCGUAGAGAUGUGGAGGAACACCAGUGGCGAAGGCGGCUUUCUGGUCUGUAACUGACGCUGAGGCGCGAAAGCGUGGGGAGCAAACAGGGAUUAGAUACCCUGGUAGUCCACGCCGUAAACGAUGAGUGCUAAGUGUUAGGGGGGUUUCCGCCCCCUUAGUGCUGCAGCCAACGCAUUAAGCACUCCGCCUGGGGAGUACGGCCGCAAGGCUG